GCGCCAGUAGCUCAGUGGAUAGAGCGGGUGGCUUCGGACCACCAGGCCGCGGGUUCGAAUCCUGCCUGGCGCGCCA
rnacentral:tRNA from 1 species